UGACUCUUUUUUCACAAACAGAACUGUUAAGAUAAUAUAAUUGAUUCCUUAAGAAAAUUUUUAAAAAUAUGACAACAAAAUAUUAUUUAAAAACAAUCUGUUUGGGUUUAUUGAUGACUUGUUCUUUAUCAAAUGCCAGGUCUGUCACGAACAUUCCACAAAAAAGAAAUGUUGCUACGGCUAGCAUUCGUUUCCUUUGCUCUAUGCUCUGGACGCAUGUAUGUUGCCCAGCUUUCACUACUAUAAAGAAGAUUGCUCACAACAUGCAUGACUAUAUUUUGACCUGAAAUGAGUAAGUGUAAGUAUCUUUGCUUUUAACGAAAGGUCUGUAAUUUAUAAAAUUUAUAAGAUAAGAAGAUGUACAUUGAAAAUAAAACA